rnacentral:rRNA from 1 species
AGCCUGAUAUUGAAUUCGGGUACGGCUUGUACAGGAUAGGUGGGAGUCACAGAUGCCGGGACGCCAGUCUCGGCGGAGACGCCGGUGGGAUACCACUGACUCGUUCAGGUAAGACCCCUUGCAGAUGACGUGGUAGAUCGGUCUGAGGUGUAAGCGUGGCAACACGCUCAGCUGACAGAUACCGGUCGAGGGCUUAACCUG